rnacentral:rRNA from 1 species
GACGAACGCUGGCGGCGAGCUUAACACAUGCAAGUCGAACGGAAAGGCCCUGCUUUUGUGGGGUGCUCGAGUGGCGAACGGGUGAGUAACACGUGAGUAACCUGCCCUUGACUUUGGGAUAACUUCAGGAAACUGGGGCUAAUACCGGAUAGGAGCUCCUGCUGCAUGGUGGGGGUUGGAAAGUUUCGGCGGUUGGGGAUGGACUCGCGGCUUAUCAGCUUGUUGGUGGGGUAGUGGCUUACCAAGGCUUUGACGGGUAGCCGGCCUGAGAGGGUGACCGGCCACAUUGGGACUGAGAUACGGCCCAGACUCCUACGGGAGGCAGCAGUGGGGAAUAUUGCACAAUGGGCGGAAGCCUGAUGCAGCAACGCCGCGUGCGGGAUGACGGCCUUCGGGUUGUAAACCGCUUUCGCCUGUGACGAAGCGUGAGUGACGGUAAUGGGUAAAGAAGCACCGGCUAACUACGUGCCAGCAGCCGCGGUGAUACGUAGGGUGCGAGCGUUGUCCGGAUUUAUUGGGCGUAAAGGGCUCGUAGGUGGUUGAUCGCGUCGGAAGUGUAAUCUUGGGGCUUAACCCUGAGCGUGCUUUCGAUACGGGUUGACUUGAGGAAGGUAGGGGAGAAUGGAAUUCCUGGUGGAGCGGUGGAAUGCGCAGAUAUCAGGAGGAACACCAGUGGCGAAGGCGGUUCUCUGGGCCUUUCCUGACGCUGAGGAGCGAAAGCGUGGGGAGCGAACAGGCUUAGAUACCCUGGUAGUCCACGCUGUAAACGGUGGGUACUAGGUGUGGGGUCCAUUCCACGGGUUCCGUGCCGUAGCUAACGCUUUAAGUACCCCGCCUGGGGAGUACGGCCGCAAGGCUAAAACUCAAAGGAAUUGACGGGGCCCCGCACAAGCGGCGGAGCAUGCGGAUUAAUUCGAUGCAACGCGUAGAACCUUACCUGGGUUUGACAUGGAUCGGGAGUGCUCAGAGAUGGGUGUGCCUCUUUUGGGGUCGGUUCACAGGUGGUGCAUGGCUGUCGUCAGCUCGUGUCGUGAGAUGUUGGGUUAAGUCCCGCAACGAGCGCAACCCUUGUUCACUGUUGCCAGCACGUUAUGGUGGGGACUCAGUGGAGACCGCCGGGGUCAACUCGGAGGAAGGUGGGGAUGACGUCAAGUCAUCAUGCCCCUUAUGUCCAGGGCUUCACGCAUGCUACAAUGGCUGGUACAGAGAGUGGCGAGCCUGUGAGGGUGAGCGAAUCUCGGAAAGCCGGUCUCAGUUCGGAUUGGGGUCUGCAACUCGACCUCAUGAAGUCGGAGUCGCUAGUAAUCGCAGAUCAGCAACGCUGCGGUGAAUACGUUCCCGGGGCU